UCCAUUCAUCUCAUUUUCAAUACCAUUAUCUUUCAUAACAAAUAUCAUUGCAUUCAUUCCAUUGACAUCAAAAUGUCCAUACAUAAAAAGUUAUUACACAAAAUUUGACAAUUUCUACCUAAGUUGACUUUUGAUCAACUGUUAACUCUUUGGUCAACCAAUUGACCAAAGUCAACUAAUCCUCAUGACUAUCCUAAACCCUAAUCUUUUGAUUCAUUCUUCCAUGAUCCAUCAAAGUCCAUGAUUCUUUGCUAGCUUUCUUCAAGCCUAAGUCACUUGUGUCAAGCCAUGUCCAACCAUCUUUUCAUGUGUGCAUCCUACAAACGACCAACCAAGCCAUGAUUAGCAACAUGCUAACCUAAACUAAGCAUUCAAACCAUCCAAAUUGCACAAUGCCAAGUUGCAUUCUAUUCAAAGCAAUCAUGGCAAAUCAUCAAACAAAACCAA
rnacentral:lncRNA from 1 species